UAUCAUCAAUUGUCAAAAAAAUAAUGGGUCUUCAAAGUCAUGAAAAUCAAAUAUCUUUUGGAAAUCAUGAUCAUCAUCAGUUCCAUCAACAACAACAAACUCAACAUCAGCAUCAACACCAGCAACUAUUAUUCCAAAAUAAUUCUGAUCAGCGAAAUAACGCUGAUCAGAUUUCUUUUGGAAUGUUACAUCAGUCAUCUUCUGUCAUACCUGAAAAUUUCAUGUAAUUUAUUUUUUGUUUUCUAAAUCCAAAUUCGUGAAAAAUAGUUUUUUUUUUUAUAAAAAAAUUCAAUUAUUAAUAUUUUUGUGCAGAAAUAAAGAGAGUAGCA
rnacentral:lncRNA from 1 species